rnacentral:rRNA from 1 species
AUUGAACGCUGGCGGCAGGCCUAACACAUGCAAGUCGAGCGAGCGGCGGAGGGGUGAGUAAUGUCUGGGAAACUGCCUGAGGGAGGGGGAUAACAACUGGAAACGGUAGCUAAUACCGCAUACCAUCAGAUGUGCCCAGAUGGGAUUAGCUAGUAAGUGGGGUAACGGCUCACCUAGGCGACGAUCCCUCGCUGGUAUGAGAGGAUGACCAGCCACACUGUAACUGAGACACGGUCCAUACUCCUACGGGAGGCAGCAGUGGGGAAUAUUGCACAAGGGGCGCAAGCCUGAUGCAGCCAUGCCGCGUGUGUGAAGAAGGCCUUCGGGUGGUAAAGCACUUUCAGCGGGGAGGCGUUACCCGCAGAAGAAGCACCGGCUAACUCCGUGCCAGCCGCCGCGGUAAUAC